UACGUAGGGCGCAAGCGUUAAUCGGAAUUACUGGGCGUAAAGCGUGCGCAGGCGGUGAGGUAAGACAGAUGUGAAAUCCCCGGGCUCAACCUGGGAACUGCAUUUGUGACUGCAUCGCUGGAGUGCGGCAGAGGGGGAUGGAAUUCCGCGUGUAGCAGUGAAAUGCGUAGAUAUGCGGAGGAACACCGAUGGCGAAGGCAAUCCCCUGGGCCUGCACUGACGCUCAUGCACGAAAGCGUGGGGAGCAAACAGG
rnacentral:rRNA from 1 species